rnacentral:snRNA from 1 species
AUACCUUUCUCGGCCUUUUGGCUAAGAUCAAGUGUAGUAUCUGUUCUUAUCAGUUUAAUAUCUGAUACGUGAGUGAUUCACUCACACGAUAUUAAAUUAAUUUUUUAAGGGGGAGGGCCCAUCGCAGUAGCUUGCUACUGGGGUCCUCGAGCGUCGCCCAUGCGUUGCACUACAGCAAGGGCUUGGCGCACCCCAC